rnacentral:tmRNA from 1 species
GGGGGCGUAAAUGGUUUCGACGGGAAAUGUUUUUGGAAGGUGUAAAGCGUGUGGUAGUCGGUUACCUUAAAACGAAAAUUAAAUUAAACGCAGAUAAUCAAAAUCUUGCUGUUGCUGCUUAGUUAGCAACUGUCCUUGCGGAUUUUCCCACAAAUUCGCUUUUGGGCAUCAAUAGCGUGGGGAACGUUCAAUGUUUUGUCUUUGAACAUUGAAAUGAUUUAAAAGACUAGUUUAAUGGAUAUUUUGUUCAUUAUAUUCACUAAAUUAAAUAGGCAAAUGAACUAAACACGUAGAAAAGCCGUUCAAGCUUUUUCGGACGUGGGUUCAACUCCCACCGUCUCCACCA